rnacentral:rRNA from 1 species
CAGUAGCCGCGGGAAUCCGAAGGGUGCAAGCGUUAAUCGGAAUUACUGGGCGUAAAGCGUGCGUAGGCGGUUUGUUAAGUCUGUUGUGAAAUCCCCGGGCUCAACCUGGGAAUGGCAAUGGAUACUGGCAAGCUAGAGUGUGUCAGAGGAUGGUGGAAUUCCCGGUGUAGCGGUGAAAUGCGUAGAGAUCGGGAGGAACAUCAGUGGCGAAGGCGGCCCUCUGGGACAACACUGACGCUGAGGCACGAAAGCGUGGGGAGCAAACAGGAUUAGAUACCCGAGUAGUCCCUGUCUCUUAUAC